AAGACGAUGUUAACUUUAUUUUAAAACAUUCAUUGCUGGUUUUAUAAUGAUCUGGAUUGUUGUGAUAUUAAUGUGAUGUUUUGUUGUCCCUGGUCGUGUAAAGAGACGUCUCUGUUCUGUCUUUUAGUCUGAAAGGGGGGGACGUACACUUGCUGCUGCUUACACUCGCCUCGUACACAAACACUCGCACGUUACACACACACACACACACACUCGUUCCCGAACACUUGUACACGCACGCAUACACACGUAUCCGGAGCACAAUUACAUUCCUGAAGAACGAAGUUUUCUCUUCAUUUUUUAAACAUUUUUCUCUCUAAAUGAAGACUCGACGUUUUAUUUUUAAUUUUUUUUGCUCAUCCAUGACCUUUCACCCCCUUAGGACACUAAUUUAAAAACAAUACCUGUUAUCAAUCUUGAUUUCAAACUUAUUGAAGCCAUGUAAACAACUUUUAACAUUUUAAACUUGCCAAAUCCUCUCUACUGCACCAUGCUUUGUCACCACACUGUGUUUUUGAAGAGAUUUACUUAAUAUAUAUAUAUAUUAUCAUUUAGCAGAUGUAAUUUAUCCUCCAAUAUAUUUAUUGUUUUAUCCUCAAAUUAUAUUGUUGCUGAAGUAAGACGGAGAUCUACAGUGUAGUAUGAACCACUGACCUGCUUCUCUCUCUCUCUCUCUCUCUCUCUCUCUCUCUCUCUCUCGUUAAAUCAGAACACAACAUUACUACAUUUUAACGGUGUUAAAGGCUGUAUGACAGUGAGCUAUUAAAAUUAUUCUGUUUUGAUGAUUGGGUAGCUGGAAUGUGGAGUAUGAAUGUUUUUUUACAUUUUUUUUUAAUUAAUUUUUUUUAUCAAUAAAACUUGGCAAACGUCUCGUAGACCCCUGACCAUUUGUGUGUACUACUCAUGUAUUUGUGUGUACUACUCAUGUAUUCUUGAAGGAAAAUAUCUGUUUUUAUUCCCCCCCCCCAGUGUAUUUACACUUCCUGUCCUUUUUUAGUAAAGUAUUUUGUUGUGAUAAAUAAGUUGCAAAAGCAAAAUGUGUAUUCAGACAGACCUGAGACUAUCUGAGCAGACUGACCAGGUUAGAUGCAGACUGACCGGGUUAGAUGCAGACUGACCGGGUUAGAUGCAGACUGACCGGGUUAGAUGCAG
rnacentral:lncRNA from 1 species